AGUGUCAUGGCCAGGAGGCUCCAGCCCCAAAAUCCAAGGAGGCUAGGUGGAUGGACCUCCUGGGCCGUAAGGUGUAUUCAGCGGGGGCCCUGCAGCUCCAGGU